UAUAUAUAAUAUAUAUAUAUAUAUAUAUAUAUAUAUAUUUAUAUAUGAUAAAAUAAAUAUUAAUAGUAAUUAUACGAUGAAACAUGUUACUGUUGAUAGGUUUAUGAAUAUAUUUUUUACGGGUUACUCAAAGAGACAUGUAACAUAUAUAUCAAAUAUAAACUAAUUGAACAAAUAUAUUAACACAAAUAUAUCAUAAAACAUUACACUAACAUGAAUCGAUGCCAGAGAGUAAGGGUUAAUAUUAUAAUUAUUUAAAAAUAUAAUUAUAUAUAUAUAUAUAUAUAAAUUAUAAAAAUUAAGAAUUAAAUAUAAUAAAAAUAUAUAUCAAAAUAAAAUAAUAAAUAUUUACAUUUCUAAUGCGAAUAAUGAAAUUAACUUCUAAAUUUAAAAUAAGCCAUAGACAAAACAUCAAAAAAUAUCUAAUAACAUGUGAAUAACAAAAGUAAACUAAUUAAAUAAAUAAACAAUUUUUUUUGCAAACGUAAAUCAUUAAUUUGUAAUAGACAUAUACACAUUAUUGAUGCUCAAAUCUAUUUCAUUUUUAGUAUACAUCCUCUCAAAUAUUGAUCCAUUAACAAGAUAUAAUUUUAGUUGGACUAAAAUUGUAUUUAAAUUGGAAUAUCACUUUCAUAAUAUAUUUACUAUUCAUCUCAACAUUCAUGAAUAUAUAUUACAAUAUUCUAAAUAUAAUAAUAAAUCAAACCAAAUUACAUAUUGGGUCAUCUACCAGCUCAACCGAUAACCAGAUCUCGGGUUUUAGCGGUUGUUACGGGUUUUAUAGAAUUUUUAAAUAACAGUUUUUUUUAAAACUAAAAUGGAUUACAUAUGAGCCACCGAAUUUGCCAAUUUUACUGCGGAUCAGGUCGGGUUUCAAAACAUUGAAUAUAAUGUUCUAUUUGUAAUAUUUAAGUGUAGAUACAAUUAAAAUACAAAUUUAUAUCAAAUAAAUUUGAAAUGUUUCAAAAACAAUCCCCGCGCUUUGAAAGCGCGGGUCAAAAUCUAGUAUAUUCUAUUAAAACAGUAGUGUGACCCAUUGAUAAAAAAUUAUGUCCAACUAAUUAUUUAUAACUGUAUCUAAAUAAUUAUCUAAUCUAUUCUAUUAAAACAGUAGUGUGACCCAUUGAUAAAAAAUUAUGUCCAACUAAUUAUUUAUAACUGUAUCUAAAUAAUUAUCUAAAUAUAUUAAAUAACUACCUUCUAUAACCACCUUCUAAAUAUUAUUGAAAUCCACGUAAUAAUUGUCUCUACCAAAACAGUUACUUUUCUUCUUUCAAAUAAAAAUUUUGGAUUUAUAGACAGGUUUGUGUUUGGAAAAUAAACUAAGUACCAUUUCCGACGAUCGGUUAAUUAAGCAUCAUGAAUUAUUGGAACCUCGAUUGAAUCUGCAAAUACAAGUGUUUUAUCAUUAUUUACUAGAUAUUGACCCGUCCUUGAGAGGACGAGUAUAUUUUUUGCUUUUAAAAAUUAUUGCCUAAUAUAAUUUAUAUGUUUGUGUGUUUAUAUAAUCAUAUUUUUGUAUGAUAUGAAUUUAAUAGAAUAUAUAAUUUUUGUAAGUAUAUUAAAUAAAUCAAGUUUCAUAAGUAUGUACUUGUGUCUUUCCUUGUAUCAUAUACGUAUUUUUUUGUAAUCAUAUUUGUGUUUUCAUCUGUGAUCAUAUUUGCGUAAUGUUUUUUAAAAAUGAUUAGUAAAGUAUUUUGAUAAUUGUAAGAAAUUUAUUAAAUUGUUAAACUACAAAUUUGUGCCAUAGAUUCUUACCUGCCCUUUCAGACGCAUACACAUUUUUUGUUUUAAAAUUUAUUUUUAAAAAUUUAAUUUUUAUAAUUGUGUUUUUAUUUGUAAUUAUAUUAAACAUGUUAAUGUUCAAUAAAAUCAAAGAGAAUAAUAAAGUCCCUAAAAUAAAGAAAAUACAUAAAUGGACAUAACAUUUAUCAAUAAGUUAUGAUUUUGUUUUAAUAGAUUAUAAAAAAAACACAAAUAUAAAAAUUCAAUUUCUCAAAAAAAAUUAAAACUAAAAAUCGAUCAUGAUCCUAAUUUAAUAGACUUAGACCUAUGAUUGAACAUGUAAAUCCGGUAAUCCGUAUAUAAUCUAGUUCAUAUUUUUGAAAAAUUUGUUUAUUAAAAAUCUGAUAAAAUUUUGUAGACAUUCAAAAUUCCCAUGUUAACCCGUAGUUGGAUGCCGAUUGAUCCGAUAAAAUCCAGAAAAUCUGAUAGUAUUUCUUUAAAAAAAUUGAUUAAAUUUUUUUUUUUUUUUUAAUAUUACAUCUAUUUUAUUAAACUAAAAUUGACAUAAAAUUGAGAAAAUUUGUGACUUUACAGAUUUUGAAAAAAUAAUUAUAUUAUUUAAAAAUGAAAACUAUUUUCAAAUUUUUUUAUUAAUAAGAAAGUAUUAUUAGUCUAUUUUCAUUUUUAACAACUUAUUAUAAGUUUGCAUUUUUAUUACUUUUAAAAUUAUAAAUUUAAUUAUCAUAUUUUGAAAAAAUUUGGUAUAUUUCUAUAUUUAUAAAAACUUUAGUAAUAUUGUCUGAAUUUAUUUCUAAUGUUAGUAACAUGGUCGUUCUCAAUUCUCAUAUUAUCAAAAUUUAUAUAUAUGUAUUAAUAAUAGUAAUUUGGUCGGUCAUUGCAUUAAAGUCUAAAUUAGUAAAAGUCUACAAACAGCUUUGUUUUUGAAGCCCAUGUCUUUAAGUUUUACAGCAAAGCAAACCCAUUAACCCAUCCCUAAUUUGCACAACAAAAAGAUAAACAUAAGUUUUUAAAAACACGUGUGUUACACUUACACGUGGAAGUAAAGAAGAUAAGCCGAUGAACAUAUGCCGUCUGGUUCUGGUUUCCGUCACAGCACCACCAGUGACGAUUUCACUGUAAUCCAAAUGGUUUUUGAGGCUAAUCCAUCAAAAUCGCCAAAAUCCUCAACAAACCACUUUAGAAAUCCCUUAACAGAUCAAUUCAGCCAUCAUCUCAUACGUUUGCCUUCUUCUUUCAUCUCUAAACACAUCUCAAAUCAUAUUCACCAUUGAACACUUCAUCCGACAUGGAGGGCCGAAGGUAUUAUUACUCCUAUGAAAUAAGAUCGAUCACAAGUUCCAUAAAUACAACUGCUUUAUGUAGAGAGAAAUGUAACCGAUCAACUUUGCGAGAAACAGAUCGUGUUCUUCAUUUAAUUAAACUAAUACAGUUAUAAAAUAAUCAAAUUUUUUAAAAUUAGUUGGACCCUAAUUUUAUCAAUUGGUCACACUUCUGUUUUAAUAGAAUAGAUUUAUUUGAAAACCAAAAAACUGCAACACGACAUGGUACUCUGUUUAAAAGACCAAGGCCGAGUUAUUCAUUUAAAAACUUGAGGAGCUUAUGGAUCUAGGUUUCUGUUUAGCAAGACGGUGUGCUUGUGUUAGUUUCCGAUGGGGAUCAACUAUUCAACUACAAUAACAAAAAAUGAUAAUAUUGUAUAUACAAUUCACGGUUUAGAUGGAAGUGAAGAGAUACGAUUUGGUCAAAUGUGUUAAAAAAAAAUAUUUUGGUGAAAUAGGUUGUACGAGAACGAUGAUUCGGGGUUUUGUUGAAUAAUCACAGACCCAUUAGUUAAUUUUUUGCUCACCAGCGAACCCAAAUAAUAUCUUAUAGAAACCCAAAUAUAAUAUAUUUGUUUUUAAACCUAAAAUUAUCACAUUUAUAUUUAUGGAACCAAAAUAUGUUUUCAUUUGGAAAAAGAUUGAUAAUAUAUUGUCAAUAUUUAAUGCAUUAAAAAAAUUAAUAACAAUUGAAGAAUAAAUUACAAAAUUAAUGUGUGAAAUGGCGACACAAGUCUAUAGUUAUGCAGUAUCACAAAUUCAAUACAAUUAUCAAAAAGUCUUAUUAAUAAUUUAAUUUUUACCCAAAUAUGAUUACAAAAAAACACAAAUAUAAAAAUUAAUUUUUCUAAACAUAUAUAAAACAAAAAAUAUACCCUCAGAAUCUAGUUAUAAUUAAAAUUUGAGUAUAUUUCAAUGGAAUUUGAUGAUUCCACUACAAUACAUGUGGAUUUAGUCGUGGAAUUUGAUAACUGCUAUGAUUUGUUUUGCUUAAAAAACUACUGAUUUUUUCAAAAAUAAUAAUAAUAAUUUACGUUACUAAACGGUUAACAUUCAGACGAAGGUGGAGGACUUUCAUGGUUUCCAAUAACAUGCAUUGGUGUUGCUAAACGCAGACACCACAGAUACAUUAACAAAAAAUUCAAGAGACAUCCCACUUCAAUUAACCCAAUUAACCAUGGAGCAUAUCAAUUAUCAUAUCCAUAAUCUUUUUUUUGACAUCUAAAAACAAUAGCGACCUCGAUCAGACCCAGAAACAAGAAAAUAAAAUUAAUGGAAAGAAGAAGAUCAACCGCGAAACACCAAGAAUAUAUUUUUUUUAUAAAAAAGUCAAGAGACUACCAUCUCAGUCAACCUUAUAUUUCUAUGGGUCCCGUGAAAAGAGAGAAGACAUAUUUGAAGAAAUCCAACAUCCUAGCAAAAAACGUAGGAAGUUGUUUAGUCUAAUUUUUCAUAUAGAAAAAAAAAAGGUACAUCAAAUUCCAUUAAAAGUAAAUUCUGACAAAGUCUAGAAAAAAAUUGAAUAACAGGUGAUUUUGAUAGAAUUCAUAUUCCAUCUAACAAAUCUCAAUCCAAUAACAGUGGAUUUCAUUUUGAAUUUGAAUUCCAUUAAAUUCCAUUGAACACAUUAAUUCGAUAACACCUCCUAUGAUAGUCGUGACCGUAGCGUAUAUCCAGUUGAUGAACUUGAGUAUGACCAGGGAUUACGAUUUACCAAUAUUUUAUAGGGAAAUUGCGGUAUAUAACUACGAAAACGUUUUUUAUUAGCCAUAUGACUAUGCUCCUGUGUAAUUUUUAUAAUGGCGAAUUUGCCACUCUGUAACCGGUCACAUAUUGAAGGAAAGACUUCAAUAGAGUCUGACCCAACCUCUACAUUGUUCUUUCAAGCACGCUUGUGCAUUAAUUAUGAAAAGAGAUGACAUUUCAUCUCGAAAACUAUCAAUUUUGCAAGAAACCAUUGGGUGAACUGUUUACGGUUUUUCUUUCUUUCAUUCUCUCUUUCAUCUUCAUAUCAUUCUCUCUUUUCAGAUCAAAGUAAAAUCUCUUCGAAAUCCCUCAAAUGGAGUCUCGAGCCGGUGAAGUUUCGGCUACUGCAUGUGAAGAAAUCUUUGAAGAUCUACCCCAAAAGAUGUUCGCCGAUGGGGAGGAACCAGUUGGAGUUAGAGUUCUAACCUAUCAAUCUUCGCGGAUCAUAAAUACCGUUUUGAAUUCCCUACAUGAAGACGAGAUUCAGUAUUUACGGGCGUCGUCUUUUGGGAAGCUUGUUGAAAUUGCUGAGAAACCUGCAUUUUCCGGGAGAUUUGCUAGAUUUCUUCUUUCAAGGCAGUUGAAAGUAGAAAAGAAACAUGAGGCGUGGUUCCGGUUUGCGGGGAAGUCGAUACGGUUCUCACUUUGUGAAUUUUCCAUUGUAGCCGGUUUAGCCUGUGGUGAAAUUCCGGAGAAACCAAAGGCAAAGAAGAAGAGAGCAAUUAAAGAUAAAACUGUAUUGGCCUGAGUUGUUUGGUGCUGUCGAAGAUAUGAGCGUUUCAAGAGCAUUGAAAAUGCUCCAAAAAAAAUCUGUUACCGAUAAAGAGCUUCGGAUCAAAGUCGCAUGCCUGGCCCUUAUUUCGUCUGUGUUGCUUUCCACUAACCUCAAGAUGAAGAUGAUAAAGAUUAUGCAGACCUUUUGGUGGAUCUUGAUGAGUUUUUUGCGUAUCCAUGGGGUCAUGUCGCGUUCGACAUGCUGAUAACUAGUAUCAAAAAAAGAGAUGAGAUAUCUCUUUCUCAAAAUACAAUCGCACUGAAAGGUUUUGCACUAGCUCUUCAGCUUGUAAUUGUUGAAGUUGUUCCCGCAUUGACUGAAGUGGUUCAAGAAGUAUGUUCAUCCUCUGAAUCGGAGAGUGAUGAUGAAGAAAGUGAUUGUAGGAUUCAGAAGACGAAGAAGAAGACGUUGAGUCCUGGGCAUGCUCGAGAAGUAGACAAGAAGGCAGAGGUAUUUACUGAAACUAUGCGUUCAUGUAGUUUUACAAUUACUGAAACUAUGCAUUCAUGUAGUUCCAGCUCGGGGGAUGGCCGAGCUGGCCAUGUGUUCGAUCCGGCUCGGCCAUCCGCUGAACUGGAAUGGUCAAUGUCACUGUCGAUCGAUGUCAAGAUGUGAACAUCGAUCGAUGAUUCCUCUUCCAUAUACUGAUGGUCGAGCUCAAUGGUCCCUCGAGUGUUACUCCAAAUAUCUCCAAAAUACUCCAAAAUCAACACUUUUAUCCAAACCACUCAUGAUCCUAUAAUUAUUCAAAAUAGACUCUAUAAUAUAAUAAUUAGUAGUUAAAACACUUAUAAAGAAUGGGUAAAAGUGGGUCAAAUCCAUGGUCUAUCAAUCGACAGUCCUUCAUCUCCUCGACAGCUUCGUCUCGCAAGGCAGACUAAGCACUUUUCAGUAAAACAGGCAUAACCUCUGCUACUGGUGGCAUUGGAAAUAUAACUCAAAGCGCCAUCUUGUGUCAAAAGAUGGGCUUAAUCUAACGGUGGGAAGGUCUCCAUCCAUAGCUAAACAUCUGAUGCGUCUGUGCAGCUCUGCACUCAAAAGGCUCCAAAAGACACUAAAAUCACCACUUUUCUCCAAAUCGUCCAUAAACCUGUAAAUACUCUAAAUAGUCUCUAUAUCGUAGUAAAUAUAUCUUAAAACAUCUAUAUACCAUGGCUAAUAAUGGAUAAAAUCUAUGGUAUAUCACUCCCCCAGACUUACCAUUUUGCUUGUACUCAAGCAAAACAUAGAGUAGUCCUGUGAAAGAGGUUUGAAAACAGCAUGGACUCACACAAUUUUAAACUUACUACUUUUACCUCUGCAGUGUUGCAAACCACAUCAGAUCAGUGCCAGCUUUAGAGACACUUCAUGUACUAGACCUUAGCUUAGCAACCAAACCAUCCAGCCCAUAGCUUAGCCUAUUAUAUAAAGGCUUGCGAUUGUAUUGUUUUAUUCAUUCAACUUUUUAAUAAAACCUUUUUCUUUUAACUUGUUGAAUGGUUUGUUCUUCAUCGAACAUCUUAUCUUCUGAGUCGUCGGAGUGUGUAAUAUCUUCAGGAUUAGAAGUUGGUAGUAUCAAGAGACUUUCCGCACCUCUUGUGUCACUUCUCGACCCACAUCUCUUGAUUGUUUGUGCUUUUUAGCUCAUUCGGUGCAAGGUUUAUCCACUCCACCAACCUUAGAGUGAUCCUUCAAUCUAUCCAAGUAAUUGCUAGAUCAUACCUUUGCACAUCCUCAAAGCUUGUUUGUUUAACGAUCUUUCAAUCAACACGAACCACAUUUCUGAAUCUACUUCAAAGAGAUUAGAAAAUUGAAAUAUUAUUUGCAUUGCUUGAUAAGUACUUUAGUUUCAGAUUCAAAACUUGAAAUUGCGUCCCCUAAAACACCGGAGCCCCACAAUGUAGUAUCACCAUUACAAUCACAUAAAAUCCAGCCUCCAUGUACUUGACCAGAAUAAAGAUCAAAAGCCGCAUCAAAAUUACAUUUAAGGGAGCCGACCAUAGGCCUCUUCCAAAACAAAGUUCGUGAUGCAGUAUACACAUAUUGUUGGGGCAAAUAGGCGGCCUGAGGUAGAAUAGUGCUCAAAAUACAUGAGCUGUUUACGUGUAAGGUUACUUUUCCAGGUUUGUUUGCAUGUUUACAUACUUUAGGACUGAAGGGUACUAUUUGACUUACUUUAAUUGUUUUCCUUCCCAAAAAUCCCUUUUGUUGAACAAGAUUGUAGUUGUGGUUAAGUUAAAAGGGAACAAGCAACUAGCUCUGAGAUUCUAGUUAGAUGGUUCGGUUGCAGUAAAUUGGUAGGUACAGAAACAAUGAGAUUUAUUGUGAGCCGUUAGAUUUAGCUAUUUUGGAAGGAAUCAGACGACUUUCAUUAAAAGCAGUACAUUGCUACCAAAAGCGGUAACAUAGGUUUAUUAAUUGCUGGCUCUUAUCUUCUUUCUUCUCUGAAAUUAGCUAGACGUUCGGCGAGUGAAACUUUUUAUUUAGUUACAAUCUUUACACCUCCCAUAUCUUAUACAUUAAUAUUUCAUAUUUAAUAUAUAUAUAUAAAAUAAACAUAAUUUUUUCUUUUUGUUUUGAUAUCCAUAUGUGUAUAUUUCAAAUAUAUAUUAAAUUGAAUUUUUCUUAUUUGGUAAAAAUAUAUAUCAAUCGUGGAUAACAAAACGUGGUCAAUAAAAUUAUGGAUGUGAAAGACAUAAACACAAGACACAUGAGAGUUGUUUACGACAACUGUGGUCAAAAACAAAUAUUAAUGGAAUUUGCAAAAUUUACACAACAAAAUAACAUCAAGAAACCAAAAACAAAUAUAAGAAGUCUGGUUACUAAGUUGUUGUGAGUUAAGAUAUUCAUGGUGAAAGUGUUUGUAUUUUUUGUUACAUGUGGUUCGUGGUUAGUAACAUAUUGUAUGGAUUGCCAGAUUGAUGUGUGGUUAGUGAUUGGUUGUGUGGUUAGUGGUCAGUGUUUCACAACCACAAAUACCAAUGGGGUUAGUUAGACUCAUAACUUGUGGUCAAUAGGGUUUGACGUUUUGUGGUUUGAGAUUAAGGAUUUGUGGUCAGAGUUAAAAGGGUUGUAUGGAGAGUCUGCAGUUAUGUAGAGUCUGAGUAACUUUGAUGGAUGUCGAAUGACCUUGUAUAUGUUACUAACCACUAACCACAUGUAACAAAAACCAUCAAACCUAAACGCCAACCUCUCCAGAGAUUGCUCUACUACACACGGCUUGCUGGAACUCCAUAAGACCGCCGUCUUCUAACCUGCAACAUUUCCGCCACAGACAGAUCUGGUACAAGUCGCAUCCAACAAUCGUCAGAGACACUAUGCAUACCGUCAGCGAGAGAUACACAAGCUUUGUUAAUGGAAGAACGACUCUUUGAUUUAGUCAAGAGAGACUUCAAGAUUUUUUUAAAAAAAUUGAUAAUCUAGAACACCGACAUAAACAUAUUUUUUUAUUUCUUUAGUUUUUAGAUUUUUUUUCAGGAAACAAAGAAAAAUUAUUGACGGUGAGGAAACGAAAAGAUUUGUAAUGGAUGAGAUUGUUUUAAGUUAGGUAAAAUGGAAGGGUCUUUUAGUAAAUACACCAUUAGAAAGUACACGACAUAUCCAAAAUAUGUGUAAACGUAAAGAGAGAGUAGAAAAAUAGGUCUAGGCAUAAUUUUUUCAAAAUACAUUCUUCCACAACAGCAAUUUUGCAUUAUCCACAGAUGUCCAACACUAUGUCCAACACUAUAUUUUCGUUUUACGAAAUAUAAAAAGGUUUCUUGAUUUCCAUAUAUUCCAAAGUAGCCAAGAAGAAAACAAAUUUUGUUGAGAAGAGAAGGAUUGUUGCCCUUGUAUGUUUACCAAAUGUAGAAUUAUAUGUUCAGCCAAAACCAGCAUAUUUAUAAGAUAUGCCACAAAAUGUUUCAAUUUAGUCCUUAUAUGUAGUUUCCAGAUCUUUUCUUUGAGAGCUGGAUCCCCAUAUGGAGGCUGGAGAGCUUGCAUUCAAAAUCAGGUGUAUAUCUUGCAAACCAAUAACAAAGAAAAAACGGUAUAGUUUAUGUUCGUAGUAUAGUUUCAUACCAGUCUAUCACAUCCGAAGUUAGGCUGAGAUAAACCUUACGGACUAACUCUUGUUUCUCGUCAUAUAGAAGUGGUUAUACCAUUUCUUAACUGGAGUAUUGGUUAUUAAAUCACUUUGAUGUGGUCCCUCUUCAGAUCAAAGAGAUUGUGUAAACAAGAACACAAUAAAAGUUUUCUUUAAGCAAAUGCAAUCUCCCUUUUAUUUCUUUUUGGCUUUUCUUAUAUAGAAAGAAAGAACUACGCGUUCAAACAAAACAGGAAGGAAAUGGGAAAUCGAAAAGUGCACAUGUGUUACUCUGGUCCUACAUGUUAGAAACAGAAUGGACUAAGUAUUAUUUGCUGAAACAAAAACAAACGGAAAUUAAAAACAUAGACUCAAUCGUGGUAACGUUGAUUUGGUCCCCUUUCUCUGCUUGAAUUUCUCCCUCCAACUCUAACGUCUUGUACGUCAUCUUACUCAUCAAUACUCCCUUGCUGAAGUUGAAGCUUGUCCUCAAGCUUCUGCACAAAUUCUGCAAAGCUUGCUUUUAUCUGCCCAGAAGAUUCCCAAGUUGCCUCAUCUGCGUGUAAGCCACCCCGAUCCAUUGAACAAUAAUUUCCUUCGUAUUUUCUUUCAUGUUCACAUGUUCUUGCAAGACUGCUUCAGGGUUUUACUUCAGGACGACGUUGUCACGCAUGGGUGGUAGCUUGCCUAUGACUGGAAUGUCGCUGCCUUUCCAUGGUUUGAGUAAAUAAACAUGAAAGACUGGGUGAAUUUUUGUACCUUCAGGAAGUGUUAAACAGUAAGCCACAGUGCCGAUACGUGAUUCAAUUUGAAAAGGACAAUAGAAAUGAUGUGAGAGUUUCUGUGAACUGCGUCAAAAUAAUGUCUUCUGUCUGUACGGCUGACUCCUUAGCAGAACCAAAUCUCCCACUUCGAACUGAACAUCACGACUCUUGGAAUCUGCCAGCUGCUUCAUCCGAUUGUUUGUUGUAGCCAGAUGGUGUUAAGCUCCACUAGAAUCUCAUCAGGAGAGACCUAUUACACAGUACGAGCGUCCUGCUGCACAGUCCGAGCGUCCUGGUUUAUAAGUGAUCUCGUAAUCAUACCCGACGAGCUUUCCCAUCCAUUUUUGUUGCUCUGGUGUGAGUAUACGCUGCUCCAGAAAAUAGCGCAAGCUCAGUUGGUCAGUUUGGAUGACAAAGCAACAGCCAAUGAGCUAAGGACGCCAUUUUCUGAUCGCAAUGACAUUUGCCAGCAUUUCCCUUGCAUAUGUAGACCAGGACUGCUUCGAGACACCCAAGGUUCUACUCAUGAAUGUGAUUGGUUGAUCAUUCUGUGAUAGAACAACUUUAAUUCUUUCUCCUGAGGCAUCAGUUUCGAUCACAAAAGGCAAUGAGAAAUUUGGAAGCGCCAAGGUUGGUGUAGAGGUAAGCGCUUGUUUCAGUUCCGUGAAUGAUUUGUUUGCUUCUUCUGUCCACGUGAAUUGACCUUUGUGCAACAGGUUUGUCAGUGGACGAGCAAUUAAAACAAUAGCUGCGGACAAAUUUCCGAUAGUAACCGGUAAGACCAAGGAAGCCUCGCAGUUCUGUGAUCAUAGUUGGCAUGGGCCAGUCAAGCAUCGCUGAGAUUUUCUGUCUAUCCGCUUUCACUCCUCCAACUCCCGUUGACCGAAGGCACACUUUUUGUAUGUCACCACCAGUUUGUGUUGACGCAAAAUGUGAAAAAUAUCUCUGACAUGUUGCAAGUGUUCCUAUCAUAAAAAAAACGAGUACCAACUUUCUUAGCAGUGGCUGGAAGACUUCGUUCAUGAGAGCUUGGAAGGUGGAGGGUGCAUUACAGAGCCCAAAAGGCAUGACCAAGUACUCGUAAUGCAUGUUAUGCGUACGAAACACAGUCUUGUGGAUAUCUGAUGGGUGCAUUCAAACUUGGUGAUAACCCGCGGUCAGGUCCAGCUUUGUGAAGAUUGUCGCUCCAUGUAGCUCAUCGAGCAUAUUGUCAACAGUUGGAAUUGCAAAUCUGUCUUUGAUUGUUGCAAAAUUCAGUUCGCGAUAGUCAGUGCAGAACCGCCAUGAUCCAUCUUUUUUCUUAACUAGUAAACCCGGUAAAGCAAAGGGACUUGCGCUCGGUUUGAUGAUACCCGAUGAUAGCAUCUCAUGGACAUGUCACUCUAUUUCAUCUUCCUGGUAGUAUGCGUACCGGUAAGGCCGAACAUUGAUUGGAUCUGUACCUUCCUUCAGCGUGAUUCGAUGUUCUAUUUGAUAUUUUGGUGGCAAGUUAAGUCCGUGGCUGGAAUAGAUCGCCGAAUUCCGAGACAAGACGUUGGAUCUCGUCGGGAGUAGGUGGGUCGUGCUCAUUGGGCUGAGCUACAGUAAUGGAAAAAAUUACCUGUCCACGACGGGCCUCCCGUGUGAAAGUCUCAUGUAGAGUAGCCUACAACUUUGUGGGCUGCAGCCCAUGGAGAAUGACCACUUUGUCGGCCCAUGAAAAUUCCAUAGUUUGAGCCUUCCAAUCACAAAGAGUUGGGUCUAGACUCGCCAUCCAUUCUAUACCCAUUACUAAAUCAAAGUCCACCAAGGUUAGUGCGUAUAGGGUCACCGUGAAAGUCUUGCCACCCAUGAUGAUACAGAGGCCGUCCAACUUGCGAGAUCCAUUGGCCACACGGACACUGACAGGAGAUGUAGCUUCAAUUCCCGAGCAACUUUGUCGCUGAUGAAAUUGUGGGUAGAACAACUAUUGAUCAAAGCCACCAGUUUAUUCUUUUGAAUCGAAGCGUGGAGUUGCAGAGUACGGGUCGAAUCCCAACCGCCAAGAGUGUACAUCGUAAUUUCAGGUUUCUUUCAGGUGUGAACCGUUCAUCACAACUGAAGCAACGACCAACACUUCUCUUCCGCUUAAGUUCCUCCCAACUUUGUUUCUUUGGUGUCUGAUCUGAUGUGUUGCGUGGUGGGAAAUUCUGAGGAGGAAAAUUACGUGCCUGUGAUUUGGUUUGUCCCGCUCUUCUCCUCUGUCGCUGGAGAUGGCCAUCCAUCAGACGGGUGUAAUUGAUCACCUCCUUCAGUGUUUUUGGACGAAACAUACGGAUCCCAUCCGCAAUUGAUCGAUGAAGGCCACCCAUGAAUGUCCCAACUAAGGCUUGUUGCGACCAGCCUCUGACCUUGUUAUGCAGACGUUUAAAUUCUUGUUGGUAGUCGCUUAAGGUGCCGGUUUGGCGAACUCUUGAUAAGGCCUCAUGGAAAUCUUCCCCGUCAGUAGGUCCAAAUCUGCCCCACAACUCCUCUUCAAACACCAUCCAUCUGAUUGGUAUUUGAUCUUCACGGAGAGCCUUGGAGAUCACCUGCCACCAUUCGUUUGCAACCCCAUCGAGAUGGUAAGAACUAAAACUGACUUGUUGGUCCAGUGGCAUCCCUUGGUAGUUGAAGUAAUGGUUAGCCUUGCUCACCCACUCAGUUGGGUCUUCUCCUGAAAAUCUCAGAAAUUCCAGUUUUACAGGACAGUGGUUUGGAGCGAGAGGUGCCAUAGCAAUGGGGUUACCUGUUCUUCUCGCUGAUGUAUCGGAUUCUUCAGAUGGUGUCUUUCAGGUCGUGGACUAUUAUGUAAGGUGUUGGAGUCACCUGAUCAUGGUUACCAGCCAUUAUGUCCAUCAAGCGAUUGAACUUAUCAUCGACAUCUCCCAACAUGUCCAUCAUAGCCAUCUUCAGCUUCUGCAUUUCGUCUUGCAUCAUUCCGCAGCUUGUCUCCAAUCCCUCAAGCCGAUCUUUAGUGGUCGUCAUGGGCUCGACAGGUACGUCUGGAGCCGCAACUUGCUUCCCUUUUCUGAUCUUCGUAGAGUAGUGGUGAUGUGUUUGUGAAAAAGAAAAAAAAUUGUAGAACAAAGUGUUGUGAUACCAAGUUGAUGUGGUCCCUCUUCAUAACUAAGAGAUUGUGUAAACAAGAAUAAGAAUUUUCUUCAGGCAAAUGCAAUCUUCUUUUUAUUUC